ensembl:snRNA U6 U6 spliceosomal RNA
GUGCUUACUUCAGCAGCAUAUACACUAAAAUUGAAAUGAUAUGGAGAUUAGCAUAGCCUCUGCACAAAUUCGUGAAGCAUUGCAGACUUUU